GUUCCUUUGGCUAAGUGGUUAAGGCGUGUGCCUGCUAAGUACAUGGGGUUUCCCUGCGAGAGUUCGAAUCUCUCAAGCAACG
rnacentral:tRNA from 1 species